rnacentral:rRNA from 1 species
AACAGGAUUAGAUACCCUGGUAGUCCACGCCGUAAACGAUGUCGACUUGGAGGUUGUGCCCUUGAGGCGUGGCUUCCGGAGCUAACGCGUUAAGUCGACCGCCUGGGGAGUACGGCCGCAAGGUUAAAACUCAAAUGAAUUGACGGGGGCCCGCACAAGCGGUGGAGCAUGUGGUUUAAUUCGAUGCAACGCGAAGAACCUUACCUACUCUUGACAUCCAGAGAACUUAGCAGAGAUGCUUUGGUGCCUUCGGGAACUCUGAGACAGGUGCUGCAUGGCUGUCGUCAGCUCGUGUUGUGAAAUGUUGGGUUAAGUCCCGCAACGAGCGCAACCCUUAUCCUUUGUUGCCAGCGGUUCGGCCGGGAACUCAAAGGAGACUGCCAGUGAUAAACUGGAGGAAGGUGGGGAUGACGUCAAGUCAUCAUGGCCCUUACGAGUAGGGCUACACACGUGCUACAAUGGCAUAUACAAAGAAAAGCGACCUCGCGAGAGCAAGCGGACCUCAUAAAGUAUGUCGUAGUCCGGAUUGGAGUCUGCAACUCGACUCCAUGAAGUCGGAAUCGCUAGUAAUCGUGGAUCAGAAUGCCACGGUGAAUACGUUCCCGGGCCUUGUACACACCGCCCGUCACACCAUGGGAGUGGGUUGCAAAAGAAGUAGGUAGCUUAACCUUCGGGAGGGCGCUUACCACUUUGUGAUUCAUGACUGGGGUGAAGUCGUAACAAGGUAACC